rnacentral:rRNA from 1 species
UGGGGAAUUUUGCACAAUGGGGGAAACCCUGAUGCAGCGACGCCGCGUGAUUUAGAAGGCCUUCGGGUUGUAAAAAUCUUUUGUAUGGGAAGAAAAUGACAGUACCAUACGAAUAAGGACCGGCUAAUUACGUGCCAGCAGCCGCGGUAAUACGUAUGUUGCGAGCGUUAUCCGGAAUUAUUGGGCUUAAAGGGCAUCUAGGCGGUAAGACAAGUUGAAGGUGAAAACCUGUGGCUCAACCAUAGGCUUGCCUACAAAACUGUUGAACUAGAGUACUGGAAAGGUGGGUGGAACUACACGAGUAGAGGUGAAAUUCGUAGAUAUGUGUAGGAAUGCCGAUGAUGAAGAUAACUCACUGGACAGAAACUGACGCUGAAGUGCGAAAGCUAGGGGAGCAAACAGG